AAUAAAUCAAUGGUCAGCGAGUAAAAACAAUGUUCAUGACGAUAAAUAUUACAUAAUACCGGAAAUAGAUUGAUUACUAAAACAGAUAAAAAUAAGUAUGCAAAGCCAAGUCGCAUAACAUUGCAUUGGUUUUGUCCAUUGACCCGGGAUCGUUGAUUAGGUUUUAUCCAUCAUGACCGGAAGUGUCAUUUUAUAUGAUUUUGUAUCGUUGAUAAAUUUUUAAUAAAAAAGUGGACAGGCAAG
rnacentral:lncRNA from 1 species